GAUGAACGCUAGCUACAGGCUUAACACAUGCAAGUCGAGGGGCAGCAUGGUCUUAGCUUGCUAAGGCCGAUGGCGACCGGCGCACGGGUGAGUAACACGUAUCCAACCUGCCGUCUACUCUUGGACAGCCUUCUGAAAGGAAGAUUAAUACAAGAUGGCAUCAUGAGUUCACAUGUUCACAUGAUUAAAGGUAUUCCGGUAGACGAUGGGGAUGCGUUCCAUUAGAUAGUAGGCGGGGUAACGGCCCACCUAGUCUUCGAUGGAUAGGGGUUCUGAGAGGAAGGUCCCCCACAUUGGAACUGAGACACGGCCCAAACUCCUACGGGAGGCAGCAGUGAGGAAUAUUGGUCAAUGGGCGAGAGCCUGAACCAGCCAAGUAGCGUGAAGGAUGACUGCCCUAUGGGUUGUAAACUUCUUUUAUAAAGGAAUAAAGUCGGGUAUGUAUACCCGUUUGCAUGUACUUUAUGAAUAAGGAUCGGCUAACUCCGUG
rnacentral:rRNA from 1 species